CGCGCAGCGAGGGCGAGAAGGCACUUGGGAGUGUGGCCGCGGGGCACGCGUGCCUGAUUGUGGACACCUGGAGUAUGGAGUGGGCAUGCGUGUGUACACCUGAGCCUAGAGAAAGGGCUGUAAGAACAGCAUCUCUCAGAGGAGGAGGAUGGCCAUGAGAGGACAAGUGACUACAGAAGAGCAAUGAAUGAUCCUGCUGAGGAGAGCUGGGAGUGCCAUCUAGUUUCUCCACUAACCAGGAUAACAGAAUUGAAAACAGCUAUAAAUUG